UGAGGAAUAUUGGUCAAUGGGCGAGAGCCUGAACCAGCCAAAUCGCGUGAAGGAAGACUGCCUUAUGGGUUGUAAACUUCUUUUAUACAGGAAUAAAAAAGGGGACGUGUCCCUUAUUGCAUGUACUGUAUGAAUAAGCAUCGGCUAACUCCGUGCCAGCAGCCGCGGUAAUACGGAGGAUGCGAGCGUUAUCCGGAUUUAUUGGGUUUAAAGGGUGCGCAGGCGGGCUUUUAAGUCAGCGGUGAAAUCUCGGGGCUUAACUCCGAAACUGCCGUUGAAACUGGGAGUCUUGAGUAUGGAUGAAGUAGGCGGAAUUCGUUGUGUAGCGGUGACAUGCUUAGAUACAACGAGGAACUCCGAUUGCGUAGGCAGCUUACUAAGCCAUAACUGACGCUCAAGCACGAAAGCGUGGGGAUCAAAACAGGAUUAGAUACCCCUGGUAGUCCACGCCGUAAAACGAUGAUUACUAGUUGUAUGCGAUAUACCGUAUGUGACUAAGCGAAAGCGAUAAGUAAUCCACCUGGGGAGUACGCCGGCAACGGUGAAACUUAAAGGAAUUGAC
rnacentral:rRNA from 1 species